CGACUGAGCACGCUGAGGUGUAUUUAUACCAGACUGACAGUGGACGCUGCGUCAUGUAACUGUCCCGGCGCACACACGCCCACCUGCUCCCAAAUCCUGAUACUCAACACCCCCACCAGUGCCAAAAUCCUGGGACUGUUAAGCAGGGGGCCUUGUCGGCGUGGUGUGUCUGUGGCGACUGAUACAGGCCUUGGGCGAGGGCCUCAGAGGAUCCUAUAAAAGAAACAACAAAAAUGUCACAGACAGUCUCGGAGAAGAGCCGUCAUUACUGCCGGCAUGCUCCAUAAAUCCACACGAGCGGCCAUGAAAGUGCUCACCCUACACCAGCUCAUUAAAGACCUGCACAUUAAAGGAGGCUUUACAUUAUUUCUGUAAAAUAAAGAGCCAUCAAACACAGAUGUUGCAUGUUAUUCCAAAAAUGCUGCUUUGAACGAUCGUUAUUUAGACAUCCUCCUCCUCUAAAUCGCCUCUCGGCUAAUGACAGCAACAGUAAAAGUCUGCAGAGUUUAUCAAAUGGUUUGUCCGUCUGGUUGGACUCACAGAAGCCCAGAAGGAGAAUAUUUAUGCUUUGUGUUAUGACCUGUGUUAAUUACGGCUGCACGGAAAAGUGUGAGCUUGGAUAACAACACCAUUAAAAACACGGAGGUUCUGAGGGAAACGGGGAGGAAACAAGCAGAGAGCUGUGAGGCUCCAGUCACUGUAAAAGACAUGUCACGUUUCAAACCCUUGGUGUGCAGAGAUACAUUGUACACAGCAUGAGAACUUCUAAUCAGCGCACACCUAAACAAACAGGACAGCGGGGAUUCGGCUCCGUGGAAACUUCUCUCUGUGAGAAAAUCAAACCUGCGUGCUGCAGAAAAUUUGCCUCUGGGCUAUUUUUUUUUUCUUUUUUGGUUCAUUUAUAGAAGCAGGCUUUAAA